rnacentral:piRNA from 1 species
UAUCAGAGCUGACCCUACAAACACCUGUCC